rnacentral:rRNA from 1 species
GUCGCGUCUGUAUACUACACUCAGGUCGGCCCCGUUUCUACAAGACGCUCGCGUUACAACCCCCUGGACAUGACGGUGUGUUACAAUCCCCCUAUUAGGAGACCUGUGUCUAUGAACCGAUAAUCUCACGUUUAACCUCUCCACUUCGUAUUUUUAACCAACCUAUAUACCGGCGUCGCCAGCUUACCCUGUUAAGGGAAAGAAGUGUGCACGAUGGGCACAGCCCAAAACGUGAGGUGCGAGGUGUGGCACAUGAAGUGGGAAAAAAUGGGCUAUAUUUUCUACUCCAGAUAAUUACAAAAGGAUACUGUGAAAUACAUACCUGAAGGGGGAUUUAAAAGUAAAAAGGAAGCUGAGGGUCCUUUUGAACCCGGGUCUAAAAACCCUACACCCC